GGACAACGUGCCCUAAAGUGGGGGAUAAUCAGGGGAAACUCUGGAUAAUACCCCAUAGAUCAUGAGAUCUGGAAUGACUUAUGGUUCAAAGUUCCGGCGCUUUAGGAUCGGUCUGCGGCCUAUCAGGUAGUAGUGGGUGUAAUGUACCCCCUAGCCUAUUACGGGUAUGGGCCUUGAGAGAGGGAGCCCAGAGUUGGAUUCUGAGACACGAAUCCAGGCCCUACGGGGCGCAGCAGUCGCGAAAACUUCACAAUGGGCGAAAGCCCGAUGAGGGAAUUCCUAGUGCUAGCACUUUUGUGUUAGCUUUUCUUUAGCGUAGAUAACUAGAGGAAUAAGGGCUGGGUAAGACGGGUGCCAGCCGCCGCGGUAAUACCCGCAGCCCGAGUGGUGGUCGAUUUUAUUGAGUCUAAAACGUUCGUAGCCGGUCUGAUAGAUCCUUGGGUAAAUCGGGGGGCUUAACCUUCCGAAUUCCGAGGAGACCGUCAGGCUUGGGAUCGGGAGAGGUAAGAGGUACUUCAGGGGUAGGGGUAAAAUCCUGUAAUCCUAGAAGGACCACCGGUGGCGAAGGCGUCUAGCUAGAACGGAUCCGACGGUGAGGGACGAAGCCCUGGGUCGCAAACGGGAUUAGAUACCCCGGUAGUCCAGGGUGUAAACGCUGCCGACUUGGUGUUGGAGGCCCUUCGGGGGCAUUCAGUGCCGGAGAGAAGUUGUUAAGUCGGCCACUUGGGGAGUACGUCCGCAAGGAUGAAACUUAA
rnacentral:rRNA from 1 species